UGUGUAGAGGCAGGGAAAUAUGCCGUGUUGUCCUUUUCGGUAAAUCCUUGCCUUUCACAGA
rnacentral:pre_miRNA from 1 species